rnacentral:lncRNA from 1 species
GUUUUCUACAGUUUAUGUUCAGGUCUAUAUGUUUUUGAAGUAUACUGAUAUUUCUGUAUGAAGAUAACUUCAAAUGCAAAAUAUUCUUACGCUUGAAAACGUGUUGUUUGAAAAAUCAUCUGAAAAGUUAGAUUUAAGGAUGUUUGCAAUUGCCUGAUGUUUUAUCAAUGGGGGACACAUAUUCGCCGUUUUUAUAUAUCUAUUUAAACC